CCAGGAGGGCUGCCCUGCAUGGCAGGACGAGACAGAGGAGAGCCCAUGACCAUCGGGCAGGUAGAAUUCCUCUGUUUGUAAAUAUGUUCAUAGUUUGCUAUGUUUUUAUUUAUAAAUGGGUAUAGAUCUCUUUAUAGGUUAGAGUGUUCUGUUUAUAUGUGCAUAUAUUGAUAGAUCUGUAGAGUUAAAUGUGGAUAUAUAGUCAGAGAAGUGAUAUAUUUUAUUGUAAAUAUACAUUUAUAGUUUUUUAGAGUUAAAUUUUUAUUUGUAUAGUGUAAAAAAUAUUUUUAUAUAUAUGAAGUUAUAUUUCUAAAUGUGCGUAGUUAUUUAGACAGUGGAAUAUGAAUGUUUAGAUGAAUACAUUGAUGGAUAGGCUGCUCUUUGAGUAGGCCUAGGCUGCAUUUUUGCCUCUUUCCCCCCUCGGCUGCCUUUCUCACCUCUUGCUUUUCCCCCUGUGCCUCCUGUGUCCCCUCUCCCUGUGCUGGGUCCGAGCUGGCGGCCAGGACUGGUGGAGCAGCACUUCCAGCCCCGGCUGUCCCUGGAGCGGUGGGAGCUGCGACUGGCCCCAGGCACUGUCCCCUGAGGAGCUGCUGAAGGAUGCUGCAAGGAAGACCUCGAGGACAGCCAGAGACUGACGGGAGUCAGCAGGGAGGAGCUGAAGGGCAGCAGCAGGAGCAGGGAACGGGGACCUGCUGCUGCCAGCCUGGAGAGAGCCCAGAUGUCCCAUCUGCUGUCCCUGUCCAGGAGAGCUGCUCUGCAUGGGAGGAGAAGGACACUGAGGGAGAGGAUUUAAGAUGGGGCAGCUGGG